CCUACGGGGGGCAGCAGUGGGGAAUAUUGCGCAAUGGGCGAAAGCCUGACGCAGCGACGCCGCGUGAGGGAUGAAGGUCCUCGGAUCGUAAACCUCUGUCAGCAGGGAAGAACGGUCACUGUGCUAAUCAGCAGUGAAUUGACGGUACCUGCAAAGGAAGCACCGGCUAACUCCGUGCCAGCAGCCGCGGUAAUACGGAGGGUGCGAGCGUUAAUCGGAAUUACUGGGCGUAAAGGGCUCGUAGGUGGUAUGUCAAGUCAAGGGUGAAAUCCCCGCGCUCAACGUGGGAACUGCCUUUGAAACUGGCAGACUGGAGUGUGUGAGAGGAUAGUGGAAUUCCAGGUGUAGGAGUGAAAUCCGUAGAUAUCUGGAGGAACAUCAGUGGCGAAGGCGACUAUCUGGCACAUCACUGACGCUGAGGAGCGAAAGCGUGGGUAGCAAACAGGAUUAGAUACCCCAGUAGUC
rnacentral:rRNA from 1 species